rnacentral:rRNA from 1 species
UACGUAGGGUGCAAGCGUUAAUCGGAAUUACUGGGCGUAAAGCGUGCGCAGGCGGUGAUGUAAGACAGAUGUGAAAUCCCCGGGCUCAACCUGGGAACUGCAUCUGUGACUGUAUAGCUAGAGUACGGUAGAGGGGGGAUGGAAUUCCGCGUGUAGCAGUGAAAAUGCGUAGAUAUGCGGAGGAACACCGAUGGCGAAGGCAAUCCCCUGGACCCUG